CUAAUACAUGCAAGUCGAGCGAACGGACGAGAAGCUUGCUUCUCUGAUGUUAGCGGCGGACGGGUGAGUAACACGUGGAUAACCUACCUAUAAGACUGGGAUAACUUCGGGAAACCGGAGCUAAUACCGGAUAAUAUUUUGAACCGCAUGGUUCAAAAGUGAAAGACGGUCUUGCUGUCACUUAUAGAUGGAUCCGCGCUGCAUUAGCUAGUUGGUAAGGUAACGGCUUACCAAGGCAACGAUGCAUAGCCGACCUGAGAGGGUGAUCGGCCACACUGGAACUGAGACACGGUCCAGACUCCUACGGGAGGCAGCAGUAGGGAAUCUUCCGCAAUGGGCGAAAGCCUGACGGAGCAACGCCGCGUGAGUGAUGAAGGUCUUCGGAUCGUAAAACUCUGUUAUUAGGGAAGAACAUAUGUGUAAGUAACUGUGCACAUCUUGACGGUACCUAAUCAGAAAGCCACGG
rnacentral:rRNA from 1 species